AGGGUGUAGCUCAGCAGGUAGAGCACCGGCCUUGGAUGCCGGCGGAUGAUCGGGUCGCCGCGCCUCCCA
rnacentral:tRNA from 1 species